rnacentral:rRNA from 1 species
GACGAACGCUGGCGGCGUGCUUAACACAUGCAAGUCGAACGGAAAGGCCCUGCUUUUGUGGGGUGCUCGAGUGGCGAACGGGUGAGUAGCACGUGAGUAACCUGCCCUUGACUUUGGGAUAACUUCAGGAAACUGGGGCUAAUACCGGAUAGGAGCUCCUGCUGCAUGGUGGGGGUUGGAAAGUUUCGGCGGUUGGGGAUGGACUCGCGGCUUAUCAGCUUGUUGGUGGGGUAGUGGCUUACCAAGGCUUUGACGGGUAGCCGGCCUGAGAGGGUGACCGGCCACAUUGGGACUGAGAUACGGCCCAGACUCCUACGGGAGGCAGCAGUGGGGAAUACUGCACAAUGGGCGGAAGCCUGAUGCAGCAACGCCGCGUGCGGGAUGACGGCCUUCGGGUUGUAAACCGCCUUCGCCUGUGACGAAGCGUGAGUGACGGUAAUGGGUAAAGAAGCACCGGCUAACUACGUG